rnacentral:rRNA from 1 species
GACGAACGCUGGCGGCGUACCUAAUACAUGCAAGUCGAACGAGUGGCGGACGGGUGAGUAAUGUCUGGGAAACUGCCUGAUGGAGGGGGAUAACUACUGGAAACGGUAGCUAAUACCGCAUACCAGCAGAUGUGCCCAGAUGGGAUUAGCUAGUUGGUGGGGUAACGGCUCACCCAGGAGACGAUCCCUAGCUGGUCUGAGAGGAUGACCAGCCAAACUGGAACUGAUACACGGUCCAGACUCCUACGAGAGGCAGCAGUGGGGAAUGUUGCACAAUGGGCGCAAGCCUGAUGCAGCCAUGCCUCGUGUAUGAAGAAGGCCUUCGGGUUGUAAAGUACUUUCAGCGGGGAGGCGUUACCCGCAGAAGAAGCACCGGCUAACUCCGUGCCAGCAGCCGCGGUAAUAC